CUCCUUGUAACGGGGAUCUAGAAGGGUGGCCAUCCAGUAAUUAGCACGAGUUAGAAUGUGGGCAACUCGGCAGUCGUUGCGCAGGCACUUUGGUGACUAGAGAUAACCUCUGGCCGAUCGCACGUCCCCGUGACUGCGACGGCACAUCCAGAUGUCUGCCCUAUCAACUUUUGAUGUUACUUUCUGCGCCUACCAUGGUGACCACGGGUAACGGGGAAUCAGGGUUCGAUUCCAGAG